rnacentral:rRNA from 1 species
UACGUAGGGUCCGAGCGUUGUCCGGAAUUAUUGGGCGUAAAGCGCGCGCAGGCGGUUUCUUAAGUCUGAUGUGAAAGCCCACGACUCAACCGUGGAGGGUCAUUGGAAACUGGGGAACUUGAGUGCAGAAGAGAAAAGCGGAAUUCCACGUGUAGCGGUGAAAUGCGUAGAGAUGUGGAGGAACACCAGUGGCGAAGGCGGCUUUUUGGUCUGUAACUGACGCUGAGGCGCGAAAGCGUGGGGAGCAAACAGG